CAGCGCUGUCGAUGUCAGCCGACUCAAAGAUGACGAAGGGACAUGUGGCCCCGACGCCGGGGAAGACAGAGACGGGGACACCCAUCCCAGCUGUGGCCUUGCACAGCAUCACUCCGUCCUGGACCAGGAGCAAAGGAUAUGUUGUGUCUCACCCAUGGCCAGAGCUGGCAGGACUCGGAGCAUCAGGGAAUAAAGAGAACAGUCAUCAGAGACAACAACAGCCACCACACCUGGGAGAGAAGGAAGAGGAACCGUUAACCCGACAUCGAGCAAAGAGACUGAAGGAAAAGACUCCUCCAGGUGUAACUUCCUGUCCCCUCACCCAGAGGAGUCCAGCCGGGGAUGAGCGUGUCCCGGAGCUGAGCCCAGCUGCUGUAGUACUGCAGCAGGCGGACCAGGGCGGAGGACGAGCAGGACGCCUCACACAGCUCGCACAGCUCCGACACACACUGGGCGUGCUGGCCGAGGACGCUCACCAGCCUGGUGACCAGAAAGAAAACCAGCUCACGCUUUUCUUACCGCUGCAUGUUGGACUUCUGUUGUAUGAAGAUGAUGAUAUUGUUUUGAUAACUGCACUGAGUGUGUCCUACCUGAGCAGAACUUUGGCUCUGGUGUAGCACGUCAUCCCACUCCAGGCUCGCUGGCCAGUAACAGCCGAGGCGGCGCACUGGGACACAUCGUCCUCAGCAGCACACACCAGGCUGCACACGUCCCCACCUGGAGAUCAGAGCGUUACACCAUCUGCUCCAUGAAGCUCCAACCAGAGGGAGCCACUUCUUCUAACCCUAUGUGUUUGUGGUUUGCAUCAGACGGUGUAAAAGCUUCCAGCGAGGUCGGAGCUGCUGUUACCUUUGGAGUCGGUCAGGGAGCGAGUCCCUCGGUCGGCCGGGCGGACGAACUUGCCGUCCAUGAACAGACCCAGAGAACGAGAGUGAUGCUCCAACCAGGCCUGGUGGAGGAGAAACGACUUCUGUUAACUGUGACAACACAACACGCACAAGUGCAGCAGCUCACUGACGACCUGCACGUGAGGGAACCAGAUAUCCACGGUGUGAGAUUUUGAGCUGACGACCUGAUCUGCUCACAUCUCAUUGGUCGGGAAGACGCCACCUCCGCUGUGACGGAGCGGCGGCCGACAGGGCAGCAGGAGUGAGUCAACGAUUUACAGACACAAAACCAAAGUACAGAGCAGAAUGUCUCUGAGGCUCAGAGCUCAUCUUCAGCUCCAGACAGAGCUCUGAGGUCAAACUGUGCUUUCUGGGUUUCUUCUGCAAUAGAAGGUCACAUGUGGUUCAACUGGUAAUUUAGUGUUUCACUCUUGAUGGACUCCAAAGAGACUAAAACAUAGUAAGGGAUAAUAAUAAAUCUUACAUUUUCUUUAAUGUAACACAACGCUGUCUAUCCCUGAAUGUCUGGUUAAGGUUCACACUCUGAGUCUGUAAGUCGUGAUUUAUAGAUUUAAAUAAAGAUCCUACUUCCUCCAUGUUA